rnacentral:rRNA from 1 species
GACGAACCGUGCGAACGUUGUUCGGAAUCACUGGGCUUAAAGGGCGCGUAGGCGGGCUCACAAGUCAGGGGUGAAAGCCCGCGGCUCAACCGUGGAAGGGCCUUUGAUACUGUGGGCCUCGAGGGGGGUAGGGGCGUGCGGAACUUCCGGUGGAGCGGUGAAAUGCGUAGAUAUCGGAAGGAACAUCGGUGGCGAAAGCGGCGCGCUGGACCCCUUCUGACGCUGAGGCGCGAAAGCCAGGGGAGCAAACGGG